GGAUUAGAUACCCUGGUAGUCCACGCCGUAAACGAUGAUUACUAGGUGUGGGGGGACUGACCCCUUCCGUGCCGCAGCAAACGCAAUAAGUAAUCCACCUGGGGAGUACGACCGCAAGGUUGAAACUCAAAGGAAUUGACGGGGGCCCGCACAAGCAGUGGAGUAUGUGGAUUAAUUCGAAGCAACGCGAAGAACCUUACCAGGUCUUGACAUCGUAUGCAUAGCUCAGAGAUGAGUGAAAUCUCUUCGGAGACAUAUAGACAGGUGGUGCAUGGUUGUCGUCAGCUCGUGUCGUGAGAUGUUGGGUUAAGUCCCGCAACGAGCGCAACCCUUACUGUUAGUUGCUACGCAAGAGCACUCUAGCAGGACUGCCGUUGACAAAACGGAGGAAGGUGGGGAUGACGUCAAAUCAUCAUGCCCCUUAUGACCUGGGCCUCACACGUACUACAAUGGCUGUUAACAGAGGGAUGCAAAGCCGCGAGGUAGAGCGAACCCCUAAAAGCAGUCUUAGUUCGGAUUGUAGGCUGCAACCCGCCUACAUGAAGUCGGAAUUGCUAGUAAUCGCAGAUCAGCAUGCUGCGGUGAAUACGUUCCCGGGCCUUGUACACACCGCCCGUCACGCCAUGGGAGUCGGUAACACCCGAAGCCUGUAGUCUAACCGCAAGGAGGACGCAGUCGAAGGUGGGAUUGAUGACUGGGGUGAAGUCGUAACAAGGUAGCCGUAUCGGAAGGUGCGGCUG
rnacentral:rRNA from 1 species